AUUUCCUGAGAAGAGAAGUAAUACAUAUUACAAGCGGACUUAAGUAACCUACAAAUGAAAGCCAAAAUAAUAAUAACCUUAACAUGUUAAAAUUUUAGGUACUGCACAAUACUACUUACAACAACUGUUAAAAUUUUAGGUAUUGCACAACACUACUUACAAUAACUAUUCUACAGUAAUAAUAUGCAUCCACUGUAUGGGGAUUUUGCAGCUGCAUCCUUAAAAAUUCUGCUGAUUAAAUUAGCACAAUUGUCUUCCAUCUCUACUCCAUAAUGACCAUCUGAUAAGAGAGCAUGCAGGUGACUGUUACCAAAAGCUAUCUACAUAUUGAUAUACCAGGCUAGAAAUCCCAUAUGGGAUCACUCAUAAGGCACUACAUAUUCACACAUUCUUGGCCCCACCAAUACAACCAACACUAAUACAGUUUAUUGUUUAAUAAGCUGAAAGUUGUCCUAACCUUGUACUGGUGGCCAGGUCUGAUGCGCCAGCCAGGGCCAAGGUCAUCCAGUGUGAGGCACAGGUUGGCACCACAGUCCUGGAGAAGCAUCAUCUUUGGUUUGUCUAGAAGGGAGGCACCUCGACGCUUUUCCUGCUGUGUCACACCUGCAACAUAAGGUUGGACAAGAGUGGGCUUACAGGCGAGGGCUGCUGAGGUGUCCUGCAUGACAUGAAGAGUGACGAGUGAGAUGCAACACCCUUUCCUUCCCCACCUGAGCUCCAUCAAGCUGAGUAAAGACAGGAGUGUCAAUUCGUUCCUCCCCCAUGGUGAUGAGUCUGGUCCAGGGCUCCUCACCACCGCUGUUGCUGUUGGGCGGGGA